rnacentral:rRNA from 1 species
CCUACGGGUGGCUGCAGUGAGGAAUAUUGCGCAAUGGGGGCAACCCUGACGCAGCAACGCCGCGUGAGUGAGGAAGGUUUUCGGAUCGUAAAGCUCUGUCGGGUGGGAAGAAAUGUAUGGAGGUUAACAGCCUUUGUACUUGACGGUACCGCCAAAGGAAGCACCGGCUAACUCCGUGCCAGCAGCCGCGGUAAUACGGGGGGUGCUAGCGUUGUUCGGAAUCAUUGGGCGUAAAGAGCGUGUAGGCGGCUAGGCAAGUCAGAUGUGAAAUCCCUGGGCUUAACCCAGGACGUGCAUUUGAAACUGCUUGGCUUGAGUAGGGAAGAGGGAAGUGGAAUUCCUGGUGUAGAGGUGAAAUUCGUAGAUAUCAGGAGGAACACCGGUGGCGAAGGCGACUUCCUGGCCCUAUACUGACGCUGAGACGCGAGAGCGUGGGGAGCAAACAGGAUUAGAUACCCGUGUAGUC